rnacentral:rRNA from 1 species
UACGAAGGGGGCUAGCGUUGCUCGGAAUCACUGGGCGUAAAGGGUGCGUAGGCGGGUCUUUUAAGUCAGGGGUGAAAUCCUGGAGCUCAACUCCAGAACUGCCUUUGAUACUGAAGAUCUUGAGUUCGGGAGAGGUGAGUGGAACUGCGAGUGUAGAGGUGAAAUUCGUAGAUAUUCGCAAGAACACCAGUGGCGAAGGCGGCUCACUGGCCCGAUACUGACGCUGAGGCACGAAAAGCGUGGGGAGCAAACAGG